rnacentral:rRNA from 1 species
AUGGCUUCAGGGUGUCCGAGUUUCGUCGCGGCCAUCAGUUCAGACACCUGUGUCACUGCGUGUGUUGCAAUCACGACCAUUUGUGUCACAACAUGCUCCGUGACCGGCCUCCUGCGCACCGUGACCCCUGCCGCACUCCUUCCUCUCCCUGAAGCCGCUCGUGCCCUCCCAAGCUUGAUAUCCUACUAUGGCGAUGAGCUCCUAUACAUCGCCGAAGUUCCAUACCCGCUCAAUGGCACCAGCAUGAGGAUGCAGCAACUAGGCUAA